rnacentral:misc_RNA from 1 species
CAAUCCUCAACCUUCGGUUGGACUAUGGAUGCUGCGGGAAACCACCCUGCUCAUCUCAAAUGCAUCAGCCACUUUGGCACCUCGCCACUUCAGUUGAGUAAUGCUUGCUGUCUCGGUGGCCCCGCCAUCUCACGACUUCCAACAAACACCUAACUUGAC